rnacentral:rRNA from 1 species
UACGUAGGGUGCGAGCGUUGUCCGGAAUUAUUGGGCGUAAAGAGCUUGUAGGCGAUUUGUCGCGUCUGCUGUGAAAAUCCGGGGCUCAACCCCGGACUUGCAGUGGGUACGGGCAGACUAGAGUGUGGUAGGGGAGACUGGAAUUCCUGGUGUAGCGGUGGAAUGCGCAGAUAUCAGGAGGAACACCGAUGGCGAAGGCAGGUCUCUGGGCCACUACUGACGCUGAGAAGCGAAAGCAUGGGGAGCGAACAGG